rnacentral:rRNA from 1 species
CGCUGGCGGCGUGCCUAAUACAUGCAAGUCGAGCGGACAGAAGGGAGCUUGCUCCCGGAUGUUAGCGGCGGACGGGUGAGUAACACGUGGGUAACCUGCCUGUAAGACUGGGAUAACUCCGGGAAACCGGAGCUAAUACCGGAUAGUUCCUUGAACCGCAUGGUUCAAGGAUGAAAGACGGUUUCGGCUGUCACUUACAGAUGGACCCGCGGCGCAUUAGCUAGUUGGUGAGGUAACGGCUCACCAAGGCGACGAUGCGUAGCCGACCUGAGAGGGUGAUCGGCCACACUGGGACUGAGACACGGCCCAGACUCCUACGGGAGGCAGCAGUAGGGAAUCUUCCGCAAUGGACGAAAGUCUGACGGAGCAACGCCGCGUGAGUGAUGAAGGUUUUCGGAUCGUAAAGCUCUGUUGUUAGGGAAGAACAAGUGCAAGAGUAACUGCUUGCACCUUGACGGUACCUAACCAGAAAGCCACGGCUAACUACGUGCCAGCAGCCGCGGUAAUACGUAGGUGGCAAGCGUUGUCCGGAAUUAUUGGGCGUAAAGGGCUCGCAGGCGGUUUCUUAAGUCUGAUGUGAAAGCCCCCGGCUCCCCCGGGGAGGGUCAUUGGAAACUGGGAAACUUGAGUGCAGAAGAGGAGAGUGGAAUUCCACGUGUAGCGGUGAAAUGCGUAGAGAUGUGGAGGAACACCAGUGGCGAAGGCGACUCUCUGGUCUGUAACUGACGCUGAGGAGCGAAAGCGUGGGGAGCGAACAGGAUUAGAUACCCUGGUAGUCCACGCCGUAAACGAUGAGUGCUAAGUGUUAGGGGGUUUCCGCCCCUUAGUGCUGCAGCUAACGCAUUAAGCACUCCGCCUGGGGAGUACGGUCGCAAGACUGAAACUCAAAGGAAUUGACGGGGGCCCGCACAAGCGGUGGAGCAUGUGGUUUAAUUUGAAGCAACGCGAAGAACCUUACCAGGUCUUGACAUCCUCUGACAACCCUAGAGAUAGGGCUUUCCCUUCGGGGACAGAGUGACAGGUGGUGCAUGGUUGUCGUCAGCUCGUGUCGUGAGAUGUUGGGUUAAGUCCCGCAACGAGCGCAACCCUUGAUCUUAGUUGCCAGCAUUCAGUUGGGCACUCUAAGGUGACUGCCGGUGACAAACCGGAGGAAGGUGGGGAUGACGUCAAAUCAUCAUGCCCCUUAUGACCUGGGCUACACACGUGCUACAAUGGACAGAACAAAGGGCUGCGAGACCGCAAGGUUUAGCCAAUCCCAUAAAUCUGUUCUCAGUUCGGAUCGCAGUCUGCAACUCGACUGCGUGAAGCUGGAAUCGCUAGUAAUCGCGGAUCAGCAUGCCGCGGUGAAUACGUUCCCGGGCCUUGUACACACCGCCCGUCACACCACGAGAGUUUGCAACACCCGAAGUCGGUGAGGUAACCUUUAUGGAGCCAGCCGCCCGAGUGAGCGGCCG